ACGCUAGCGGCAGGCCUAAUACAUGCAAGUCGGACGGGAUUGGAGAGCUUGCUUUCCAUGAGAGUGGCGCACGGGUGCGUAACACGUAUGCAACCUACCUUUACCAGGGGGAUAGCCUCUCGAAAGAGAGAUUAAGACCGCAUAACAUUAUUGAAUGGCAUCAUUUAAUAAUCAAAUAUUUAUAGGGUAAAGAUGGGCAUGCGGAACAUUAGCUAGUUGGUGAGGUAACGGCUCACCAAGGCUACGAUGUUUAGGGGAUCUGAGAGGAUGACCCCCCACACUGGUACUGAGACACGGACCAGACUCCUACGGGAGGCAGCAGUAAGGAAUAUUGGUCAAUGGGCGGAAGCCUGAACCAGCCAUGCCGCGUGCAGGAAGACGGCCCUACGGGUUGUAAACUGCUUUUGUACCGGAAUAAACCUUGAUUCGUGAAUCAAGCUGAAUGUACGGUAAGAAUAAGGAUC
rnacentral:rRNA from 1 species